AUUGAACGCUGGCGGCAUGCCUUACACAUGCGAGUCGAACGGCAGCACGGGUGCUUGCACCUGGUGGCGAGUGGCGAACGGGUGAGUAAUACAUCGGAACAUGUCCUGUAGUGGGGGAUAGCCCGGCGAAAGCCGGAUUAAUACCGCAUACGAUCUACGGAUGAAAGCGGGGGACCUUCGGGCCUCGCGCUAUAGGGUUGGCCGAUGGCUGAUUAGCUAGUUGGUGGGGUAAAGGCCUACCAAGGCGACGAUCAGUAGCUGGUCUGAGAGGACGACCAGCCACACUGGGACUGAGACACGGCCCAGACUCCUACGGGAGGCAGCAGUGGGGAAUUUUGGACAAUGGGCGAAAGCCUGAUCCAGCAAUGCCGCGUGUGUGAAGAAGGCCUUCGGGUUGUAAAGUACUUUUGUCCGGAAAGAAAUCCUUGGUUCUAAUAUAGCCGGGGGA
rnacentral:rRNA from 1 species